UUCUAUAAGAGAGCAGGCUGAGCAAGUCAGGGGAAGCAAGCCAGUAAGAAACAUCCCUCCAUGGCCUCUGCAUCAGCUCCUGCUUCCUGACCUGCUUGAGUUCCAGUCCUGACUUCCUUUAGUGAUGAACUGCAACGUGGAAGUAAAUGAAGUCUUCUAUUUUAUCAUACUUCCUCACUUGACUCUGAACAAUGAAGCCUUCUGCAAUGAUGGAAAUGUUCUCUGACAACACAGUCCACAGUCUCAUGUAUGAGAACUCAAAAACUCCCAGGCGCCAUGGCGAGAACCUCAUUCGUUCUAGGAACAUUACACAAACAGCCUCUUCACUUGAAAAAAGAAGAAAGAAAGAAAAGGCUUCCUACUAGACUGGAGAGACAGAAGAGCAGGAAAAGGCACCUGCUGCAUUCGAGAAAGUUUUCCUGCCUUCUAUUCUACUCCUGCUUUCUUGAGUCUUUUGUUGGAGAUAAGUUUGGGGUCAAAAUGAAAGGGACCACAAUUCCUACUGAAGGGUCUGAACAAGGCGAACUCAGAAGAGCACUGAGUUUUUAGUCUAACUCAGUUGGGAACUGUAUCUUUUCCCCAUUGGCUGUCAGCCACCUCACAGUCUCAUCCGAUUGGCUAGUCUGAAAAGAACCGGAAAUGAAGGAGGAAGGAAAAAGGUUUAGUGCUCUGAAAAGAAAGAAGUCACUGCUCCAGGCCCUCAAAUUCCUGGAAUGCAGUAGGAGCCUUGGGGUGAGAGGGAUUAAACCAUUUGCAUCCAAGUCUUACAAAGUGGAGAAAAUAAAGCGAUUCUCAUUACUUGUCCUAAACACAAGUUUUACAGUGUUUAAUAUUAGACUUGUAUUUGAUAUCUCGUAUUCCUGCCCCUCAUUGCAUCGGUGUGGUCCUUCUAAAUCCCUAAUCUGCCAUACGGCUCACCUGCUUAAAACUAAUGACUCUGUGCUCUUCUUAGAACAGGGUGAGCGAGCGGCACGUGCCCAUCCUCCUCCAUCUUCGUCCUCAGCCUUUUGGCUCCUCCUCCAUCUCGGUAUUCCAGUUGCACCGGCUCCUUCUGGCUCCCUCCUGCUUCUUCCUUCAUGAGGUGUCUCUGCCCCCCGAACUGCAACACACUGUUCUCUCCUCUUCUCUGCAUUUCUCUUCUACCUAAUCUCAUUCUGUCACUUCCAUAGCUCCUUCCUCUUCCUGGUAACACUCAUGACACACAUGUCUACUCAACUUAAUAUCAGUUUUUCCAAGCACAGGAAAAGUCCACGGAAUUCAGCUGCAAUCCCUCCUUUUAGAACAGGGCCUGGCCAAAGGAGGGCUCACUCAACACUGUGUCUAAUAAACAGCCCUUGGAGUCCUGGGACACAGCUUUUAGCAUGUCUUCAUCUGAUUUGAUGAGGGCAGGAUUGUACGGCCCAUACUUAGAAACUUCCAGUUGGUGAUUUGGGAUAUAUGUCACAUAUCCACAGCCAUCCAUGUGUCCUCUCCCCUCAAGAUUUCUUCCUUUCUUUUCUUUCCUUUCAUUUUUUGGGGGGUAGGGAGGUAGAGGGCAGUGUCAGAGUUUCUCUACAUAACCAAACUGCCUUGGGUUCACUAUAUAGAUCAAGCUGGCUUCAAACUCAGAGUCCUGGAUGGAAUUAAGCAGAUGCAAGACAACCUUGCCUAGCAAGGUUUGCUCUUUUACAAUGCAAUAGUCAGGACCCAGCAGACUUUAUUUUCAAAUGUAAAUUGCAUUCUGGACUUAAAUGUUUUCAAUAGUAUUUUGACUGCUCUCAAAAUUUAAUUCAAAGUCUCAAGAUCCUAGGGGUUCUGGGUCCUUGACAUCCUCUAACGCAGGCUACCCACCUUCUGGUUCCUUCUACUCUAAAGCGUUAGGUUUUCUGUCCUUCAAAUACACAAAGCCUUUUGUAAUACAGGGCCUGCCGUAGCUGUUUCUUGCUCCCACACUACCUCACUUUAAGAUCUUUGAACAACUGGCUAUUUCUCCUUCCUGACUUAAAUGUCAGCGAAUGUUUUAGAACAUUCUAUUCUGAUCUCCCUGGAUCAAAUCUCUCCAGUUUUUAUGUGCUUAUGACAAUCUAAAAUUCUUUGUUGUUGUUGUUAUUUUUAGAUAUUUUCUUGACACAAGCCCCCCCCCCAGCUGGCCUUGAACUAGCUGUGUAGACCAGG